UACGGAGGGUGCAAGCGUUACCCGGAAUCACUGGGCGUAAAGGGCGUGUAGGCGGUUAAUUAAGUCUGGUUUUAAAGACCGAAGCUUAACUUCGGGAAUGGACUGGAGACUGGCUAGCUAGACCUCUGGAGAGAGAACCGGAAUUCCUGGUGUAGCGGUGGAAUGCGUAGAUACCAGGAGGAACACCAAUGGCGAAGGCAGGUCUUGGACAGAAGGUGACGCUGAGGCGCGAAAGUGUGGGGAGCGAACGAGG
rnacentral:rRNA from 1 species